rnacentral:misc_RNA from 1 species
GGUUAUUAUACCAAAUCGUGUAAGGUAUUUAUUAUGUUCUUUAUAUAUUCUAGCAUCAAUAUUAGUUCAAUGUGAUUGUUAAUUAAUUAUUUCUACCGUUGAUGACCAUAUGCUACUCCUUCUAUUGUUAGUCAUUUGUCUUAUGCGUCAUUCUUCUAGAUUCCUGGUCUAUCUUCUGUGUGAUACAUCAUAACUUUACUCCUUUUCUCUGUUCUAUUAAUUUGGAGUAAUGUACUUUUGUUUUAAAUAUCACCAAGCUGAAAAUGACCUUGUUUAAUGCCUAAACAUAGUACUUAAUUGUUUGUGGCCCUUUUUUAAUGGAUUAGUCCAGAGUGGUACUUAUUUAAUACUUUCCUGUGAUUGUACUCUAAUACUAUAAAUAAUUAAUUAAUUUCUCAAGCUUAUCUCCAUAGUUUUUGCUUAUAUUUACAGUUUCAAAGAGCGUGAGUUACUC